GGCCAGACUCCUACGGGAGGCAGCAGUGAGGAAUAUUGGUCAAUGGGCGAGAGCCUGAACCAGCCAAGUCGCGUGAAGGAUGACGGCCCUACGGGUUGUAAACUUCUUUUGUCAGGGAGCAAUUGAGUCCACGUGUGGUCUUAGCGAGAGUACCUGAAGAAAAAGCAUCGGCUAACUCCGUGCCAGCAGCCGCGGUAAUACGGAGGAUGCGAGCGUUAUCCGGAUUUAUUGGGUUUAAAGGGUGCGUAGGCGGAAUAUCAAGUCAGCGGUAAAAAUUCGGGGCUCAACCCCGUCGUGCCGUUGAAACUGGCCGUCUUGAGAUGUCGAGAGGUAUGCGGAAUGCGCAGUGUAGCGGUGAAAUGCUUAGAUAUCGCGCAGAACCCCGAUUGCGAAGGCAGCGUACCGGCGCCACACUGACGCUGAGGCACGAAAGCGUGGGUAUCGAACAGGAUUAGAUACCCCUGUACA
rnacentral:rRNA from 1 species